rnacentral:rRNA from 1 species
UACGUAGGGGGCAAGCGUUAUCCGGAUUUACUGGGUGUAAAGGGAGCGUAGACGGCGAAGCAAGUCUGAAGUGAAAACCCAGGGCUUAACCCUGGGACUGCUUUGGAAACUGUUUUGCUAGAGUGCUGGAGAGGUAAGUGGAAUUCCUAGUGUAGCGGUGAAAUGCGUAGAUAUUAGGAGGAACACCAGUGGCGAAGGCGGCCUGCUGGACUGUAACUGACGUUGAGGCUCGAAAGCGUGGGGAGCAA